AUUGAACGCUGGCGGCAGGCCUAACACAUGCAAGUCGAACGGUAACAGGAAGCAGCUUGCUGCUUCGCUGACGAGUGGCGGACGGGUGAGUAAUGUCUGGGAAGCUGCCUGAUGGAGGGGGAUAACUACUGGAAACGGUAGCUAAUACCGCAUAAUGUCGCAAGACCAAAGAGGGGGACCUUCGGGCCUCUUGCCAUCGGAUGUGCCCAGAUGGGAUUAGCUUGCUGGUGGGGUAACGGCUCACCAAGGCGACGAUCCCUAGCUGGUCUGAGAGGAUGACCAGCCACACUGGAACUGAGACACGGUCCAGACUCCUACGGGAGGCAGCAGUGGGGAAUAUUGCACAAUGGGCGCAAGCCUGAUGCAGCCAUGCCGCGUGUAUGAAGAAGGCCUUCGGGUUGUAAAGUACUUUCAGCGGGGAGGAAGGGAGUAAAGUUAAUACCUUUGCUCAUUGACGUUACCCGCAGAAGAAGCACCGGCUAACUCCGUG
rnacentral:rRNA from 1 species